UGGCUCCUCGUAUUUCCCUCCAUGAUGUCGAAUUAAAAUCCCAAAAUUAUAUAAGCGCUUAACCGAAUUAUCGCAAGUAUUCCCCUUUGUUAAGAAAAAUUUAUAUAUUCCGGACUUGGGAUAAACUAUUCAUACUUCAAAAUUAUUUCGGGAUUUAAUUAAAUAAUUCGUCACGAUUAAUUAUCAGCCCAAAGAUUUAUUUAAAAGGCUCAAGACUUAAUUAUUUUCCCACCUUAUAUCUCCAACUUAAAAUUUUAAAGCCCAAACAAUUAUUAACUCAUCCUUAUCUCUCCAUUUUAUUUAGUAAUGCCUAACUAAAAAGAAUGGCCCAAAUCAAAUAAAUCAUCUUAUUUGCUUUAUAAGGCCCGAUUUUUUUUUAAAACAAACAAAGGCCCAAUUCUUAAAAAAAAACAAAAGAGGCCCACUUAUACUCCCACCUUCUCCUUCUUCCCUCACACUCUCUCUCUAUCUCUAUUCACUCUUUUUCCCCAAAUUUCACAAAAUAGGGAAGACUCCUUCUCUAAUUUAGAGUUUCAGCUUCCUCCCCUCCAUCAUCUUCUCCUUUCCUCUCUCCCCCUUUCUCGGUUCUCCCUCUUCCUCUCUUUCUCCUCUCCAUUUUUCAUCUCUUUCUCUCUUCUCUUUCUCGGCUAUGCUCACGCCGGCGCUACCGCCACCGCUGCUGUACGCGUGGCGGCUCGACGUCGCAGCCCUCCACCUCCCUCUCUCGAUUUCCACCGCCAUCACAUCAUCGCUGCUCCACCGCCUCAGCCCCCCUUCUCUCUCCCGAAUCUGUCGCCUCCUCGCCGGACUCCCGAAAGGUUGUGAAAUUAGUGACGUAUCGAGGUGGGGGCUGUCCUUGGUUGUCUCCAGGCUGCAGAGAAUCUGUCUCCGGCAGAUUUAUAUUUUAGUCUAAGAUAAGUACCUGAGUUCUUUGCUAGAAAUUGCUUUCUAUAUUCUUUGCUAUAGUUGUUAAGUUCGUAUUUGGCAGAGGCUAAAUCUUGCCUAUAUGCAUAUGUUGAAAGAAGAAAAAAAUAUGUUGUUGUUACUUACCUUCAUAUGUGAUGCAUAAACUUUGCUGAAAUUUCCACUACGAUGUGAACGUCCUCUUCCUUUGCCUUCCUGCUUUGUUGGAAGUAUUUUGGGAGGAGGGUAUUGUUUGGUACUUGGCGGGGUAGUGAAAGUGAUGAACAAUAUGUUCUUGCUGGUAUGUAUAUGUGAGUAGCAAGUGGUCUGACAUGAUCCUCCAAAUAUUCUCUUGUCGGAGAAUUGAUGAUUGUUCUGACAUUUCAUUUAAUGCCGUAUCAAUUGUUGCUGAAAAUUUGAUCCUCAGGAUCGGAUCUGCCUACCCCUUUCUUUUAUAUUUAUUUGUUUUAUUAAAUUUUAUUAUUUGUAUAUUUAUUUACUUAUUUGUUUAACUUGGUGUAGGAAAAACCCCGUUUAAGCUCGUGGCUUUGGUGUAGGAAAACAAAUAACAUCCAUAGUCUUCCCUGAUGAUGUACCGGACUUUCUUGGAGUACGAGCACGACCGUUGAACGGGCUGCGUGAACUUUUCCCCAAUUGUAAGGAUUUGAUAAAUUUGUAUAAUAGUAAUUUAGCGGACUUCGAAGAAAUGUCGGACAUUAUAAUUUUUUUUUUUUUGGUGUUACUUUUUUUUUUACUUGAAA